rnacentral:tRNA from 1 species
GCCGCUGUAGCUCAAAGGAUAGAGCAGACCCGUCCUAAGGGUAAGGUUGAGGGUUCGACUCCUUCCAGCGGCG